rnacentral:rRNA from 1 species
UCUAAUACCGGAUACGACCGCUGGGGGCAUGGCUGGUGGUGGAAAGCUCCGGCGGUGCAGGAUGAGCCCGCGGCCUAUCAGCUUGUUGGUGGGGUGAUGGCCUACCAAGGCGACGACGGG